rnacentral:rRNA from 1 species
UACGUAGGGGGCAAGCGUUAUCCGGAUUCAUUGGGCGUAAAGCGCGCGCAGGCGGGCUGUUAAGCGGGACCUCUAAUCCCAGGGCUCAACCUUGGGCCGGGUCCCGAACUGGCAGCCUCGGGUUCGGUAGGGGUAGACGGAAUUCCCGGUGUAGCGGUGGAAUGCGCAGAUAUCGGGAAGAACACCGAUGGCGAAGGCAGUCUACUGGGCCGCAACCGACGCUGAGGCGCGAAAGCUAGGGGAGCGAACAGG